rnacentral:misc_RNA from 1 species
GAUGAAGAACGCAGCGAAAUGCGAUAAGUAGUGUGAAUUGCAGAAUUCAGCGAAUCAUCGAAUCUUUGAACGCACAUUGCGCCCUUUGGUAUUCCAAAGGGCAUGCCUGUUCGAGCGUCAUUUGUACCCUCAAGCUUUGCUUGGUGUUGGGCGUCUUGUCUCUAGCUUUGCUGGAGACUCGCCUUAAAGUAAUUGGCAGCCGGCCUACUGGUUUCGGAGCGCAGCACAAGUCGCACUCUCUAUCAGCAAAGGUCUAGCAUCCAUUAAGCCUUUUUUUCAACUUUUGACCUCGGAUCAGGUAGGGAUACCCGCUGAACUUAAGCAUAUCAAUAAGCGGAGGA